AGUCAGGCAGCUGGAAGAACAGCCCGCUGGGGUCCUAAAAUCCUUAACGUGCACAUGCGCAAAAAAGAAAUCCUCUUCCUCGGUGGGCACCAUGGCGGAUACCGAAAAAAAGGUCCCGGCUGUCCCUGAGAGCCUUUUGAAAAGGCGGAAGGCCUUCGCCGCCAUGAAGGCUAAGCGUAUCAAGAAGAUGCUGGCUGAGAAAAAGGUCCGCAAAGUGACGAGGAGACUGAUCUACAAGAGGGCUGAGCAGUACCACAAGGAGUACAGACAGAUGUACCGGCGUGAAAUCCGCCUGGCCCGUACAGCUCGCAAAGUGGGAAACUACUAUGUUCCAUCUGAGCCCAAACUGGCCUUUGUUAUCAGAAUCAGAGGUAUCAAUGGUGUCAGCCCCAAGGUCCGCAAAGUGCUGCAGCUGCUCCGUCUGCGCCAGAUCUUUAAUGGUGUGUUCGUCAAGCUGAACAAGGCUUCACUCCACAUGCUUAGGAUUGCUGAGCCCUACAUUGCUUGGGGAUACCCAAACCUGAAGUCUGUGCGUGAGCUCAUCUACAAACGUGGUCAUGGCAGGAUCAGGAAACAGCGCAUUGCCCUCACAGAUAACGCUCUGGUGGAGAAGGCCCUCGGCAAAUAUGGCAUCAUCUGUGUGGAGGACCUCAUUCAUGAGAUUUACACAGUUGGAAAGAACUUCAAACCCGCUAACAACUUCCUGUGGCCCUUCAAGCUGUCGUCACCCCGCGGCGGUAUGAACAAGAAGACCACCCACUUUGUUGAGGGAGGGGAUGCUGGCAACAGGGAGGAUCAGAUCAACAGACUGAUCAGAAGGAUGAACUAAAGCUUGUGGGGCAAGGUUAGAGAGAGCCAGAACUGUGAUCCCUCCGCUGCCAAGAGACUACCAUGUGCACAGACCUGGCAACCUGCAUCCCCUCAGCCUCUCCAAGGAGUUUUCCCGCAGCCAUGCAAGGCGGCCCCUUGUCCUAGGAUAUGCUGACAGAUUUGGAUUAAACACAACUUCAGCCAUUCUCUUUCCAUCCACUUUAAGCCUCAGAGGCAGGAACACAUUCUCAGUUGAGAGCUGCAAGCUCAGCAGGCCUAAGGUGAAUCAUCCAACAGAAAACCUAUUGAUUGAUAAAGACAAUCACAAGAGCCAGUCCUAUCCAGACCCAAUGGUCAGGGCCUCUCGUUCUUUUAUCGACAGGAUUUCUGAGCUGGCCGCUUUAGAGGUUGAGACAGUGAAACAAGAAAAGCUCAAGAAAAUGAGGAAAUCUAGAAAACUUCAGUCCUGACAAUCACCUUUUUCCUGUUCACGCUGGUCAGUGAUUAAAACUUCUGAGUCUGUGCCAGCAGCGCCUGAACAAAAUAAAACCUUUACGGCACAGUGUUCUUUUCAGUGGCUUGUUCUCACUGCUGGUUUAUCCUCAGCAAUUUUAGUUUCCUGCUUAACAUGGCUGGUCUUUAUACUUUGGGAUUCCUGACUUGAGCCCUCACUAACAGUAUUUAAUGCGGUAAAGUGCAGUGUUUGCUGCAGUAUUAAAGCCUGACGAUGAAAAAUAAUUAAUUAUUGCCAUAUUUCUUGUUCUUUUAUCAGUAUGUUGCAGAUGCUGUUGGAUCCCAUUACAACAAUGUUUUAGACUGUCAUUAUACACAAGCAAAAAAUCUAUAUACAUAUUAAAUUGUUUAGCAAAACAACUUUUGUGCCUUGAUGAACAUCUUCCUGAAAUUAAACAAGUUUAUUUUCCCUA